CCCGUUUAAGCAUUUUCACUACUUAUAGCAAUUCUUACUUCCAUUUCCACUUCAAAGAAUUAAUCUUUUCACGUUUUCAUUUCCUUUUAAACUAUUCAUCUUCUCUCUUCUUUCUUCUUGCGCAGAGAACCAAACAAAAGCCCUCCCAUUAUCUUCUCUCUUCCUUUAGUCUUCAGCUUAUCAAAUUGACCAUUCUACAGAUGAAAAUAGACAGGAGAUGGUGAAAUUUUGAAAUAGACAUGAAAAUUUAAGGAAAGUUGAAAGCUUUGUUCUGAACCCCUACUCCCGCUCCAUCAAUAGGCCUGCCAAAGAGAGCUACUGGUAUGUAAGGG
rnacentral:lncRNA from 1 species